rnacentral:rRNA from 1 species
GAUGAACGCUGGCGGCGUGCCUAAUACAUGCAAGUCGAGCGAACAGAUAAGGAGCUUGCUCCUUUGACGUUAGCGGCGGACGGGUGAGUAACACGUGGGUAACCUACCUAUAAGACUGGGAUAACUUCGGGAAACCGGAGCUAAUACCGGAUAAUAUUUCGAACCGCAUGGUUCGAUAGUGAAAGAUGGUUUUGCUAUCACUUAUAGAUGGACCCGCGCCGUAUUAGCUAGUUGGUAAGGUAACGGCUUACCAAGGCGACGAUACGUAGCCGACCUGAGAGGGUGAUCGGCCACACUAGAACUGAGACACGGUCCAGACUCCUACGGGAGGCAGCAGUAGGGAAUCUUCCGCAAUGGGCGAAAGCCUGACGGAGCAACGCCGCGUGAGUGAUGAAGGUUUUCGGAUCGUAAAACUCUGUUAUUAGGGAAGAACAUACGUGUAAGUAACUGUGCACGUCUUGACGGUACCUAAUCAGAAAGCCACGGCUAACUACGUG